rnacentral:rRNA from 1 species
UACGGGGGGGGCAAGCGUUGUUCGGAAUUACUGGGCGUAAAGGGCUCGUAGGCGGCCAACUAAGUCGGAUGUGAAAAUCCCCAAGCUUAACUUGGGAACUGCAUCCGAUACUGGAUGGCUUGAAUCCGGGAGAGGGAUGCAGAAUUCCAGGUGUAGCGGUGAAAUGCGUAGAUAUCUGGAGGAACACCAGUGGCGCAGGCGGCGUCCUGGACCGGCACUGACGCUGAGGUGCGAAAGCGUGGGGGAGCGAACAGG